CCUCCACCUCUGAAGGGACGGCCUGUGUGGAACGUCUCGGCGUGUCCAGCACCAACCACUUCCACCGCAACAGCUGAGGCAGCCGCUCCUCCAAAACCCUCAUCGAAGACUGAAACCUCUCUCCAGUCCAGACCUACUGAUCCACCUCCAGCAGCCUCCUCUCCCACUGGUUCUCAUGUGACGUCACCAUCAGGUAUAGACUGCUGCACCAACCUAAAACCCACC